rnacentral:rRNA from 1 species
GAUGAACGCUAGCGGCAGGCCUAACACAUGCAAGUCGAGGGGUAACAUUGGUGCUUGCACCAGAUGACGACCGGCGCACGGGUGCGGAACGCGUAUGGAACCUACCCUUAUCAGGGGGAUAGCCUUUAGAAAUGAAGAUUAAUACCCCAUAGUAUCUAAUUAUUGCAUAAUAAUAAGAUUAAAGAUUUAUCGGAUAAGGAUGGCCAUGCGUAUCAUUAGCUAGUUGGUAAGGUAACGGCUUACCAAAGCAACGAUGAUUAGGGGCCCUGAGAGGGGGAUCCCCCACACUGGUACUGAGACACGGACCAGACUCCUACGGGAGGCAGCAGUGAGGAAUAUUGGACAAUGGCCGAGAGGUUGAUCCAGCCAUGCCGCGUGUAGGAUGACUGCCCUAUGGGUUGUAAACUACUUUUAUACAGGAAGAAACCUACUUACGUGUAAGUAGCUGACGGUACUGUAAGAAUAAGGACCGGCUAACUCCG